rnacentral:rRNA from 1 species
GGUCGAAAGAGGAAAUUCAUUCGCGUUUCGGCUGUCGAAGUUGAACAUUUAUAUGACGGAUGAUGUUUCGAUGUCGUCUGCGUUUCGUGUUUUUCGAAUCGAUGCCGAACGCGUGCACUUUUCCUCUAGUAGGACGUCGCGAUCCGUUGGGUGUCUGUCUAAGACUUGAGGUGGAGCCCACGCGAUUUUAUUGUCGCGUGGACCCUCGAUGUUCCGACAGACUCGCUCGACGGUAAGCAAAUGGCGCGGGGCCGCUACUUUAGUUAGCGUUCGGCCCGUAGCAAGCACGUUCUGUGUUUGACGGCCAUCGGACCUGGUGCCGAUUCUGUCCCGGAAUGACUGUUGGUUACGGUGUUCUCGAACAGACCUCG